rnacentral:rRNA from 1 species
UACGGGGGGAGCAAGCGUUGUUCGGAUUUACUGGGCGUAAAGGGCGCGUAGGCGGCGUAACAAGUCACUUGUGAAAUCUCCGGGCUUAACCCGGAGCGGCCAAGUGAUACUGUUGUGCUAGAGUGCGGAAGGGGCUACUGGAAUUCCCGGUGUAGCGGUGAAAUGCGCAGAUAUCGGGAAGAACACCUAUGGCGAAGGCAGCUCUCUGGGACGGUACUGACGCUGAGACGCGAAAGCGUGGGGAGCGAACAGG